UUAUGAUUGAAAAUUGUUCAAUUAAAUUAAAGAAGUAAAUGUGUUCAUAUUUCGAACAUCACCAAAAGUAAAAUGGUAAAAUUAACAUAAAAGUUGACACUCGCGAGGUUUGGAUAUCUCUUAAAACAUGAGAAGGUUUCAUUAAUUUUGUUAAACAACAAUGAUUUCACUCAUUUUUCCUGAUCCUGAAAAGUAAUAGGAAAAAUUAAUAAAAUUACAAUUAGCAAAAUGAUUUGAAGGGAUCAAAUAUCGAAAAGUAAGGGUAUGUUCGAUAUUAUUUCUGAAUUUGUAUUUUCUAAGAACAAAAAUGAAAAUGAAAAUGGUAUUUUGCAGUUGCUGUAUUUCAAAUUUAAGUAUGCAUUUGGUAUCAUUUUCUGUUUCCUGUAUUUAAAAAUUGAAAACAGUAAUAUGCAUUUGGUAGAAACAGUUGAAAAUGAUAAAACAGAGAAUAUGUGCGGUAGUACCUUUUCCAAAAACAAUUUUUACUAAGCAUUUACAUCAUACUUAUAAUUAAAAAAUAAUUAUUUAGCUAAUACAUACACAAAUACACCAUAAUAAUUUAAACAAAAUUAUUAUAAAAAAAUUACAUGAUGAUAAAGUUUUAGAAUUAACAUUAAUUAAAAAAAUUACAUGGUCAUUGUUUUUUACACUAUAAUAAGAUAUCUAUUACAACACAUGAUUUAAACAAAAUAAUUAUAAAAACUUACAUGUUAGACGUUAUGCAUUACGUGUGUAAUUAUGUCACAUAGAGCGCAGCGGCUGGGCGGAGACGAAGCAGCAGCGGCUGGGCGAAACAGAGCAGCAGUGACUAGGCAGAGAUGGAAUAGCAGAGGCUGGGUGGAGACAGAACAGCAGUGGGGAGCAUGGGCGGACCCAAUUAAGGUCCAGGAGGGGCUUC
rnacentral:lncRNA from 1 species